GCCCGAUUAGCUCAGUGGUAGAGCAACCGCCUUGUAAGCGGUAGGUCGUCAGUUCAAAUCUGUCAUCGGGCUCCA
rnacentral:tRNA from 1 species